GGGUACUAGCUCGAUCAGUAGUGCAGCAAGUUGUGCCAGUUGUUGGUCCAAAUGAGGAGCGAGCGACUGCUCAAGAGGUCUCUUCUGCAUCGUACUCCAUAAAAGAUCUUAGACCUUUCUAGAGGAUAGUUUUUUGCCCUCCCUGGCCUAGCUUUUCGGCCCUUCUUGAGGGAAUAUCUAAGAGGUGAAUGAAGCUAGUCAUUCCAUCUCCGAUAUCCUUUGGUGGGGAUCGGUAGCCAUCG
rnacentral:lncRNA from 1 species